UACGUAGGGUGCGAGCGUUAAUCGGAAUUACUGGGCGUAACGCGUGCGUAGGCGGUUUGCCGUGUCCUGUGUGAAAGCCCCGGGCUCAACCUGGGAAUUGCAUGGGAAACUGGCAGGCUUGAGUGUGGCAGAGGAGGGUGGAAUUCCGCGUGUAGCAGUGAAAUGCGUAGAGAUGCGGAGGAACACCGAUGGCGAAGGCAGCCCUCUGGGCCAACACUGACGCUCAGGCACGAAAGCGUGGGGAGCAAACAGG
rnacentral:rRNA from 1 species